rnacentral:lncRNA from 1 species
GAAAUAUUUGGGUAUUGUUUGGUAUCAAAUGCAAGCUUGGGGACUUGGGAUCAAUGUAGAACCCUUGUUGAAAGUUUCUUUUGAAUGAUAAAGAAGAAUAUGAAAUUUUAAUUGGAGGACACAUUUGCCCUUUUGUUAAGAUCAGAAGUACCUGUUUUUGUACUAUCAAACUACCGGGAACCAGUAUACUCUAACAUGAAAUUAAAGGUAUGUUGAAUUUUUCAGCACAAGUCAGGAUAAGAUAUAGUUUUGACAUGAAAUAACUGCCACUUUAUUUGAACUGAAGACAAAUUAGCCAUUAAUGCUUGAAAUUGCAGAAUUUAACAUAGAAAGCAAUGGGGCUAUGAAUUAGUGGUUUUAUACCUUAAACAAUGAAUAACUACCAUACCAUAUAGUAAAAUAUGCUAAACUUAAGAAAAUUCAAACCAAAACCUAAUAGCCUGAAUGAUGCUGAAAAAAUCAUCUAAAACUGCUAUGGCAGACAGCUACUACCAACAAACAUUAGUCUAAAUACACCUGACCUUGUUGAGACGAACAGACAAUGAUUAGUUGUAUAUAUACAAAUGAUAUAUUUAUAUAGACUUCCAAAGAUCUUCAAAAGGGAAACAAAAAAGAGACACGC